UCCGAGAUCUACCUUGAAAUGUGAGUGGAGCAGCAACAGUAGCUGCAACAGCGAGGACGAGAAGGAAUAGGGAAUCUAAAAGCUCAAGUUUUUAAUUUUCGUUUUCUUGAAUAAUGUC
rnacentral:sRNA from 1 species